rnacentral:rRNA from 1 species
AUUGAACGCUGGCGGCAGGCCUAACACAUGCAAGUCGAACGAGUGGCGGACGGGUGAGUAAUGUCUGGGAAACUGCCUGAUGGAGGGGGAUAACUACUCGAAACGGUAGCUAAUACCGCAUACUAUCGGAUGUGCCCAGAUGGGAUUAGCUAGUCGGUGGGGUAAAGGCUCACCUAGGCGACGAUCCGUAGCUGCUCUGAGAGGAGGACCAGCCACACUGGGACUGAGACACGGUACAGACUCCUACGGGAGGCAGCAGUGGGGAAUAUUGCACAAUGGGGGAAAGCCUGAUUCAGCCAUGCCGCGUGUAUGAAGAAGGCCUUCGGGUUGUAAAGUACUUUCAGCGGGGAGGCGUUACCCGCAGAAGAAGCACCGGCUAACUCCGUGCCAGCAGCCGCGGUAAUUC